rnacentral:rRNA from 1 species
GCUUGCUUUCUUUGCUGACGAGCGGCGGACGGGUGAGUAAUGCCUGGGAAUAUACCCUGAUGUGGGGGAUAACUAUUGGAAACGAUAGCUAAUACCGCAUAAUCUCUUCGGAGCAAAGAGGGGGACCUUCGGGCCUCUCGCGUCAGGAUUAGCCCAGGUGGGAUUAGCUAGUUGGUGGGGUAAUGGCUCACCAAGGCGACGAUCCCUAGCUGGUCUGAGAGGAUGAUCAGCCACACUGGAACUGAGACACGGUCCAGACUCCUACGGGAGGCAGCAGUGGGGAAUAUUGCACAAUGGGGGAAACCCUGAUGCAGCCAUGCCGCGUGUAUGAAGAAGGCCUUCGGGUUGUAAAGUACUUUCAGUUGUGAGGAAGGCGUUGGAGUUAAUAGCUUCAGCGUUUGACGUUAGCAACAGAAGAAGCACCGGCUAACUCCGUGCCAGCAGCCGCGGUAAUACGGAGGGUGCGAGCGUUAAUCGGAAUUACUGGGCGUAAAGCGCAUGCAGGCGGUCUGUUAAGCAAGAUGUGAAAGCCCGGGGCUCAACCUCGGAACAGCAUUUUGAACUGGCAGACUAGAGUCUUGUAG